rnacentral:rRNA from 1 species
UUAAGCGACUAAGCGUACACGGUGGAUGCCCUGGCAGUCAGAGGCGAUGAAGGACGUGCUAAUCUGCGAAAAGCGUCGGUAAGGUGAUAUGAACCGUUAUAACCGGCGAUGUCCGAAUGGGGAAACCCAGUGCAAUUCGUUGCACUAUCGUUAACUGAAUACAUAGGUUAACGAGGCGAACCGGGGGAACUGAAACAUCUAAGUACCCCGAGGAAAAGAAAUCAACCGAGAUUCCCCCAGUAGCGGCGAGCGAACGGGGAGCAGCCCAGAGUCUGAAUCAGCUUGUGUGUUAGUGGAACGGUCUGGAAAGUCCGACGGUACAGGGUGAUAGUCCCGUACACCAAAAUGCACAGGCUGUGAACUCGAAGAGUAGGGCGGGACACGUGGUAUCCUGUCUGAAUAUGGGGGGACCAUCCUCCAAGGCUAAAUACUCCUGACUGACCGAUAGUGAACCAGUACCGUGAGGGAAAGGCGAAAAGAACCCCGGCGAGGGGAGUGAAAAAGAACCUGAAACCGUGUACGUACAAGCAGUGGGAGCACCUUCGGGUGUGACUGCGUACCUUUUGUAUAAUGGGUCAGCGACUUAUAUUCUGUAGCAAGGUUAACCGUAUAGGGGAGCCGCAGGGAAACCGAGUCUUAACUGGGCGUUAAGUUGCAGGGUAUAGACCCGAAACCCGGUGAUCUAGCCAUGGGCAGGUUGAAGGUUGGGUAACACUAACUGGAGGACCGAACCGACUAAUGUUGAAAAAUUAGCGGAUGACUUGUGGCUGGGGGUGAAAGGCCAAUCAAACCGGGAGAUAGCUGGUUCUCCCCGAAAGCUAUUUAGGUAGCGCCUCGUGAAUUCAUCUUCGGGGGUAGAGCACUGUUUCGGCUAGGGGGUCAUCCCGACUUACCAACCCGAUGCAAACUACGAAUACCGAAGAAUGUUAUCACGGGAGACACACGGCGGGUGCUAACGUCCGUCGUGAAGAGGGAAACAACCCAGACCGCCAGCUAAGGUCCCAAAGUCAUGGUUAAGUGGGAAACGAUGUGGGAAGGCACAGACAGCCAGGAUGUUGGCUUAGAAGCAGCCAUCAUUUAAAGAAAGCGUAAUAGCUCACUGGUCGAGUCGGCCUGCGCGGAAGAUGUAACGGGGCUAAACCAUGCACCGAAGCUGCGGCAGCGACACUAUGUGUUGUUGGGUAGGGGAGCGUUCUGUAAGCCUGCGAAGGUGUGCUGUGAGGCAUGCUGGAGGUAUCAGAAGUGCGAAUGCUGACAUAAGUAACGAUAAAGCGGGUGAAAAGCCCGCUCGCCGGAAGACCAAGGGUUCCUGUCCAACGUUAAUCGGGGCAGGGUGAGUCGACCCCUAAGGCGAGGCCGAAAGGCGUAGUCGAUGGGAAACAGGUUAAUAUUCCUGUACUUGGUGUUACUGCGAAGGGGGACGGAGAAGGCUAUGUUAGCCGGGCGACGGUUGUCCCGGUUUAAGCAUGUAGGCUGGUUGUCCAGGCAAAUCCGGAUAAUCAAGGCUGAGGUGUGAUGACGAGGCACUACGGUGCUGAAGUAACAAAUGCCCUGCUUCCAGGAAAAGCCUCUAAGCAUCAGGUAACAUCAAAUCGUACCCCAAACCGACACAGGUGGUCAGGUAGAGAAUACCAAGGCGCUUGAGAUAACUCGGGUGAAGGAACUAGGCAAAAUGGUGCCGUAACUUCGGGAGAAGGCACGCUGGUGUGUAGGUGAAGCCCCUGCGGGUGGAGCUGAGACCAGUCGAAGAUACCAGCUGGCUGCAACUGUUUAUUAAAAACACAGCACUGUGCAAACACGAAAGUGGACGUAUACGGUGUGACGCCUGCCCGGUGCCGGAAGGUUAAUUGAUGGGGUUAUCCGUAAGGAGAAGCUCUUGAUCGAAGCCCCGGUAAACGGCGGCCGUAACUAUAACGGUCCUAAGGUAGCGAAAUUCCUUGUCGGGUAAGUUCCGACCUGCACGAAUGGCGUAAUGAUGGCCAGGCUGUCUCCACCCGAGACUCAGUGAAAUUGAACUCGCUGUGAAGAUGCAGUGUACCCGCGGCAAGACGGAAAGACCCCGUGAACCUUUACUAUAGCUUGACACUGAACAUUGAGCCUUGAUGUGUAGGAUAGGUGGGAGGCUUUGAAGCGUGGACGCCAGUCUGCGUGGAGCCAACCUUGAAAUACCACCCUUUAAUGUUUGAUGUUCUAACGUUGGCCCCUUACCGGGGUUGCGGACAGUGUCUGGUGGGUAGUUUGACUGGGGCGGUCUCCUCCCAAAGCGUAACGGAGGAGCACGAAGGUUAGCUAAUCCUGGUCGGACAUCAGGAGGUUAGUGCAAUGGCAUAAGCUAGCUUGACUGCGAGCGUGACGGCGCGAGCAGGUGCGAAAGCAGGUCAUAGUGAUCCGGUGGUUCUGAAUGGAAGGGCCAUCGCUCAACGGAUAAAAGGUACUCCGGGGAUAACAGGCUGAUACCGCCCAAGAGUUCAUAUCGACGGCGGUGUUUGGCACCUCGAUGUCGGCUCAUCACAUCCUGGGGCUGAAGUAGGUCCCAAGGGUAUGGCUGUUCGCCAUUUAAAGUGGUACGCGAGCUGGGUUUAGAACGUCGUGAGACAGUUCGGUCCCUAUCUGCCGUGGGCGCUGGAGAAUUGAGGGGGGCUGCUCCUAGUACGAGAGGACCGGAGUGGACGCAUCACUGGUGUUCGGGUUGUCAUGCCAAUGGCACUGCCCGGUAGCUAAAUGCGGAAGAGAUAAGUGCUGAAAGCAUCUAAGCACGAAACUUGCCCCGAGAUGAGUUCUCCCUGAGACUUUAAGUCUCCUGAAGGAACGUUGAAGACGACGACGUUGAUAGGCCGGGUGUGUAAGCGCAGCGAUGCGUUGAGCUAACCGGUACUAAUGAACCGUGAGGCUUAACCUU